ACUCCUACGGGAGGCAGCAGUGGGAAUAUUGGACAAUGGGCGAAAGCCUGAUCCAGCCAUGCCGCGUGUGUGAAGAAGGCCUUUUGGUUGUAAAGCACUUUAAGCGAGGAGGAGGCUACGUAGAUUAAUACUCUUGGUANAUGUGGACGUUACUCGCAGAAUAAGCACCGGCUAACUCUGUGCCAGCAGCCGCGGUAAUACAGAGGGUGCGAGCGUUAAUCGGAUUUACUGGGCGUAAAGCGUGCGUAGGCGGCUUUUUAAGUCGGAUGUGAAAUCCCUGAGCUUAACUUAGGAAUUGCAUUCGUAC
rnacentral:rRNA from 1 species